CGGACGGGUGAGUAAUGCUUGGGAAUCUGGCUCAUGGAGGGGGAUAACUACGGGAAACUGUAGCUAAUACCGCGUAGUAUCGGAAGAUGAAAGUGUGGGACCGCAAGGCCACAUGCCAUGAGAUGAGCCCAAGUGGGAUUAGGUAGUUGGUUAGGUAAAGGCUGACCAAGCCGACGAUCUCUAGCUGGUCUGAGAGGAUGACCAGCCACACUGGAACUGAGACACGGUCCAGACUCCUACGGGAGGCAGCAGUGGGGAAUAUUGCACAAUGGGGGAAACCCUGAUGCAGCCAUGCCGCGUGAAUGAAGAAGGCCUUCGGGUUGUAAAGUUCUUUCGGUGAUGAGGAAGGUGUUUGUUUUAAUAGGACAAGCAAUUGACGUUAGUCACAGAAGAAGCACCGGCUAACUCCGUGCCAGCAGCCGCGGUAAUACGGAGGGUGCGAGCGUUAAUCGGAAUAACUGGGCGUAAAGGGCACGCAGGCGGUGACUUAAGUGAGAUGUGAAAGCCCCGAGCUUAACUUGGGAAUUGCAUUUCAUACUGGGUCGCUAGAGUACUUUAGGGAGGGGUAGAAUUCCACGUGUAGCGGUGAAAUGCGUAGAGAUGUGGAGGAAUACCGAAGGCGAAGGCAGCCCCUUGGGAAUGUACUGACGCUCAUGUGCGAAAGCGUGGGGAGCAAACAGGAUUAGAUACCCUGGUAGUCCACGCUGUAAACGCUGUCGAUUUGGGGAUUGGGCUUAGAGCUUGGUGCCCGUAGCUAACGUGAUAAAUCGACCGCCUGGGGAGUACGGC
rnacentral:rRNA from 1 species